rnacentral:misc_RNA from 1 species
AAACAGAAUAUGUCUGCAUUCCUUCAUGGCCGCGGAAUAUACGUGGGUCUUAAAGAUCUUGAGAGAAGAUUCUACAAUGCUGACCUGAGACGCCAACUUGGUGCGUGGCGAAUCGCGGUGUGAGGUCCUCCUUGUCCUCUUGAAGCCACAGCUUCAGCAGGGAAUGGUGGUGCUCAGCGUGGUGGAACUCAAAGCCCUGAUUGGCUGCCUCAGGAAUCAAGUGACUCUGGAGAAUCGGCACUUUAAUCCAUAUGGCAGACAUACCCUGAUUUCGCCAUUUCUGGAUUGAAUCUGUAUCAGAAAGGAGUAGCAACUGAUUUAUAUAUCGGAUAAAUUAUUGAGUUUACAUAUAUCUGAAUAUUAAAAAUUUUUUAUUGUUCUUAAAAAAAUGACAUUUAUGAUUGUACAAAACUUCUCUGAGAUUUUGUUAAAAUUUGUGGAAAAAAAAUAUUAUAAGUAACAUCAAUAUUUAUUCUUUUUACAAUAAUUGUUCUUUUACAGUGAAUGUCAAAACAAUGUCUGAAAAAUUAGUUGGCAGAUAAGUAGAAUAAGUUUAUUAUUACAAUUUAAAUAUGUCAUAUUUCAACAAACUACAUUUGUUUGCCAAUUUGCCUUACAAAGAAGCACUACUGCAGAUAUUGUGAAACAGUCCAUUUGAAAAUAUUGAAAUAAAGUAUUAACAAUUUACUUUUCUGACAAAUUCAUUUAUCUUUAGCACUCACCUGACAGAAUGGUCCUGAAUUCUUCUGAGGUAAGUGACUGCGUUAUGUUGAGGUCUACGGUUAUUCCAUUGUACUUGUCCUUGGUCACUAAGUCAGGACUGAAUGAGGUUUGGAUAUCUGUGUGGAUGUUCCUGCACCAGCUACACACAGAUGGAAGUCUUCUGAGAGAUCCUAUUGCUGGCAGUAACCUUCAGAGAGGAAACAUGGUGUUUACAAAGUACACAUUCAACUACAGUAUGGACCACAUUAUGACCAUUACUUAUAUUAAUUCUACCACUUAAUAUAGAAAAAUUAUUGUGUGUAUAAGAUAUUAUAAAACGUUAUGAGAUAUUGGUGACAACAAUGGGACUAGACUGAACUAUUAAUCGGACGGGAGAGAUACAUAGAAAGGGAGCGAGCGGAGGAAUUCGGAGUGACAGUAUGCCGGAGUGACGAUAUGCCGGGCUUCAUUCGGACUUUAUUAAUCUGUGUAGUUUUAGUAAUGGCACCUGUGAAUUUCCGCCGGAUCUGCGCGGAGACUGGUACACGACCAGCAAUGGAUUGGUGACGUUUUCUAAUGACAGCAUCAGUAACUUCAAGAGUUUGAUCCACCCCUCCACUCACACCUACAACUGUGAAUACAUUGAUAAUGGGCGAUACAUCACCAGAGCCCGUAUACCUAUCCUUAGCACCAGCAACUAUGAUGUGUACUUCUGCAUGUCCUUCACGAAAAUCACAGAAACUAAAUACCUAGUCCAAUAUAAUUCAGACAUGGCGGGGUUUGUGAAUGAGCGUGUGGUUGGGGUGUCCGUGCAGUCCUCUACCACGACCCUCCUCCCCGUGGGUGAGGCCUGUAACCUAACCACAUCCGUACCCACGGGUUCUCAGGAAGUCUACGUCAAGAAAGCAACGAAUCAUCUAACUUUAUAACCUGCCCCGAGAGUGUUGCCAGCAUCCUUGACAUGACCUUAAACUCUGGUUGCUAUGGGAACGUCAUAGAUGGAAUGUCAUACCCUAACUACCUCAUUCAUAGUUACAACAGCUCAUGUGCCUCAACUCAGUAUACAUUUACAACCAGUGGCAACUUGACUUGCAUGUAUUCGGUGAUGUCCGGGGCCAGCACGUACCUUACGGUAUAUAACCUUGACACUACAACGGAUGAAAUCAGCACGUACAGAUUCCUUUGUUACGUUAUUACCAGCGGCAAUGAUCAGGUAUACCUCACAUAUUACCCCAAGAUUUGUCAAACUGACCAGACUUCUACCUAUGUGACGUCACCAGGUGUCAUUGCCUAUCUCGUGGAUCGAUAUAAGGACGCAGCUCCCUCUGACGACGAGGUGCCGAUAGGAGUAGUAAUAGGAAUACUGGUGCCGAUAGUUCUUCUCCUUGGCAUGGUCCUUUUUAUCAUAUACUGGAAAAUAAAACAUCGACAAAAAAUUAACCAUGAGUUAGAACUAGCAGCUAGAAGGAACUGGAAAAAAUUAGCCGAAAAAUUUACCCCAAAGACAAAACACACGGUAGAAAAGGCUGAAAAUAGUUCCAAAAAGGGCAAUAAAAAGAGGAAG